rnacentral:rRNA from 1 species
UACGGAGGAUGCAAGCGUUAUCCGGAAUGAUUGGGCGUAAAGGGUCCGCAGGUGGCAUUGUAAGUCUGCUGUUAAAGAGUUUGGCUCAACCAAAUAAGAGCAGUGGAAACUACAAAGCUAGAGUGUGGUCGGGGCAGAGGGAAUUCCUGGUGUAGCGGUGAAAUGCGUAGAUAUCAGGAAGAACACCAGUGGCGAAGGCGCUCUGCUAGGCCGAGACUGACACUGAGGGACGAAAGCUAGGGGAGCGAAUGGGAUUAGAUACCCCAGUAGUCCUAGCCGUAAACGAUGGAUACUAGGCGUAGCUCGUAUCGACCCGAGCUGUGCCGGAGCUAACGCGUUAAGUAUCCCGCCUGGGGAGUACGCAGGCAACUGUG